rnacentral:rRNA from 1 species
UGGCGAACGGGUGAGUAACGCGUGAGGAACCUGCCUCAAAGAGGGGGACAACAGUUGGAAACGACUGCUAAUACCGCAUAAGCCCACGACCCGGCAUCGGGAAGAGGGAAAAGGAGCAAUCCGCUUUGAGAUGGCCUCGCGUCCGACUAGCUAGUUGGUGAGGUAACGGCCCACCAAGGCAACGAUCGGUAGCCGGACUGAGAGGUUGAACGGCCACAUUGGGACUGAGACACGGCCCAG